GGCCAAGUCGGGGGUCACAGGGCACUUCAGGCACCAUGGGUGGAGUCAGUACUCUUUGACCUUUUAUUUUUUUAUGUUUUAUUUCAGCAUAUUAUGGGGGUACAAAUGUUAAGGUUACGUCUUUGACCUUCUUGGCUGAGAGUUGGGGACUGCAGCUUCCACCUUUUGCCUUUUACUAUGGGACGCCCUCACAAGAUGCCAGUGCCAUGCUCUUGGACUUCCCAGUCUACAGAACGGCAUUGAAAUCGCGUAUUUCAAUGAAGAUUCGGGGGUGACUCUGAAGGCCAAGAUCCAAAGAUGGCAACCAGGAGGCUUUGCUGCCUUGAUAAAUCCUGAGCCAUUCUUUGAUGGAAAAGGAUCAUAAAUGUGCUCAGUAGAAGUAGCACGCUACAAUUUUGAAAGCUAAAGAUUUCCAUUGCAGUCUUAAUGCAGACUGGCCAGCGGACAAUUUCUUUCUCUCAACUGCCUUAUUACCUAGUUGGUUGAGUGUUUCCUGUUAAUACUCAGAACAUAACAAUCCUCCCAGUGAUGGCCACGGGCCCUCUGCCAUGCUGCUGCUGUAUCAAAGGCAGGCCUCUGUGGUCUUAGCAGAGGACUCUGCCCCGUCACAAACAAGUCUCUGCUGCAUUGACUCAUGGAUUCUCAAUUCAGUUGGAAUGAUGCUCAUUUUCUCCCAAUGUCACAAAAAUGAUAUCUAAGUUUCCUUUCAUUCUUAAACUCUAGGAUUGCCAUGUUUACCACAAGGAAGUAUUUGUUCCCUUCUGUUAACCACUUGGUAAAUAAUACAUUUUUGUAAACCAAGGCUGAUUGUCAUGGAAGCAACAGAGCCCAAACCAUAGACAUAAGGCUUGAAAUUUAAUGGUACUAAAGAUCCAACCAACGGCAGCAGAUUGAGUACUUCUUGAUCGCAAUAAUCAAAAUGGACCUUGCCAACGCUUCAUAAGGUAGAGAGGGCUGGAAAAAUUGCCAUUAUCUGGUUGUUUUUUGUUAUCAGAUUCUAUGCAAAACCUUCAGCUUUUUAAAAGCAAUAUUUAAAUGGCCUCAAA